GUUUAAUAUAUGACCGCGUGAUAUUUAUUUGCGCUCAAAUCUAACGUUACUGCUUCCGGCUGAACAAUGCGAGGGAACGAUCAAAAUAAAGGCUGCAAAUCAUGUUUCAAGUGCGGACUGCACUCUUCAGAGAGAGAGCAAAAGAGAUCAACUUGAACCUACAUCACCCCCGACUACAAUAUCACCGACAUUUCGAGUUAAAAACACGCAAAGUCGCGGGUAAAUGUGUCCAACGCGCCCGCCGCGAAGGGUGAUCGUUCCCCGGGCUGCAUAACACACCAGAAGAGGUUGAAAGACCCUCUUUCUCUCUCGCCCACCUCUAAAGAUGUUGCUCCAUACACGCCGGGGAAUGCAGAUGUCGGUAGCCGAAGAGGUGGCACUCGGAGCCGGGCAGGGGCAGGACCCUCGACCCUGGGAGACCCUCCGGCGAGACGCGGGAUAAGCGGCGCAGGCAGGCGGCGAGCCUCGCUCUGACUGGCGGAGAGGGGGAGCGAGUCUAGACCGCGGCAGAGGAAGAAAGGACUGCCACUGGGGUCAGAGAGCAGCGACGAGUGCAUAGCCUCCGUACUAGCAUGGCGGAGCGAGAGUGUGUGUGUGUGUGUGUGUGUGUGUGUGUG